GCAUCGAUGAAAGAACGCAGCGAACUGCGAUAAGUAAUGUGAAUUGACAGAAUUUCAGUGAAUCAUCGAAGUCUUUGAACGCACAUUGCGCCCCCUGGCAUUUCCGGGGGGCAUGCCUGUCCGAGCGUCAUU
rnacentral:rRNA from 1 species